GUAUAUGUGAUGUGUGAAUAGAUCGACAAUGCAGGAAGGACCUGGACGUUUCGGGCGCAGUGAAACGUUUCGGGGCUUUGAAUUUCUUGCACUUCCAGUACUUAGUUGACUGUAUUACAGGAUGCUUGAGGAGGUUAUGUAAUUCGGUGGGUUUACAGUUCUUGCGAUAUCACGUGGAGCACCGUGUUGGCUAUGUAUUUCGUGAACUAGUGAUAAAUGGGACUUGGAAAUUCUAUGCGCCAUGAUUUUGUGGAACAAAGCAAAUAAAUUCUCUUUCAAACUUAUUUUAGCCAGUUUAAUUUCACGGUAAAUAAAUCAAGGUAUUAUUUUUCGUCUUUUAGGCCUCGUAUUCUCUGUUUAACGUAAUUGCACGAAUUUUUCAGGAUAAUCAAUAAAUAGUAGAUACCACGUAAUAAUGAGAGGUACGUGUAUGUCGAACGUCUCGAAUAACAUGAAUCGAGCGAUUAUACAGUUGUUUUAUUCCUAUUAAAUUUAAUUCACUUAAACCGAACGCUUUGUAGCACCGUAUAACGUUUUCAUAAAUUUUGAACAAUCUUUUGACCGCUUUACAAAUUCUACUAUCAGUGUCGAAAAUUAUUGUAUCUUUUGUCAUGUGAAUAAACGUAAUGUGUACUAACAAGAAAAAUUAGGUUUUGGACUUUCAGAUUUUUCAAUGUAUCUCAAAAAUUAUGCAAGCUUGGAUUAAACUUUAAAUGGACGGUAAAUUUGUUUUUGAGUUGCCUAUAAAAAGUUCUUAUUAGUUUAUCCCUGUUUGCAAAAAUACACCAUCCAUCCUCUUCAUCACUGUUUCAGAAAAGAUUUUUUUUCCUAACAUCAUAACAUGGAUAGCAUUACUUAUUUCACAUAUAGUUCCGUAUCUAUUACUUAUGCAUGGAACACUAUGAACCUCGUUUCGCACGUUGUAUACAUUUAAUUAUGCUUAUAAUUAAAAAUCAAUGUUCACCAUUUACUUAUCACGUUUUUCAUAAGAACUGGCUGGCUGCAAGCUUUUUUUGGUUAUAACCCGUUGGGACUGACCUAAAGACAAGUCACGCAACUACGUAUUAAAAAGACAUAUAUCUUCAGUCGAACUAUAAAAACGUUCGAUCAAUUUAAUAAGAAGGUUUCGCACAUUCCCUGGUAAAAUAACAUUCACGCGUUUAUGUGCUAUGAAAAUAUUAAGUACUAUGAACUAGUAAGCAGUAGUAAUCGUCAAAAGUAUGGGCUUUGGAUUUUAAAUAAAUUUUUCUGAAAUGUCUAUUAUAAUUAUUUUACAAAUAUUAUAAUAAAUUAUUCUAAUAUACCAGAGGUCACUUAUCUUAUUCAGCAUAUUCAUAAAAUCCUUAUAAAUCUCGAACUGACUAUCCAAUUCAUCCGUAUUGGAGGAUUACAAAUUACAGUUACUCCAUUUCAGAUAUUACGUAUUUGUAAAACCACGAAACAUUAUCAACUGGAAUGUCACUGAUGACGAGAUAAUACAUUUCAUAAAUAACCGUUGAUUAAUUGACGUUGAUUUCUGCGAAUUGCCAUAAUCUGACAAUCGAUAACCUUACACGUAAAAUUUCGUAAUGACGAAUCGGUACGAAAGGCGUGCGCACAUGCGCAUACAUGAUAUGUUCAUUUUCAAGAUUUUCAAUGUACAGUGUAAGUCUCUCACAAUUUACAUAAUGCAGAGACAUGUAAGCUAAGCGAAAUACCAGUCAGGUACUCAGAACAGCUGUGACAGUUCCCCUUCUCUCGUACCCGUGACCAAUGACAAUGCCCAGCUGUCCCCACUCUCGGCCUUCGACGAGCUAGAAGAAUGUUGGCUGUAAAGGACUCUACCUUACCGACAGCGCCAAGUAUCCUUAGCGCUGUCACUUAUUGUAUUCAAAUUUGUAUGAUACUUAAAUACUUACAAUUGAAGCAUUUUUCGAGUCACGUGUGUAACAUGCAUCCACAUGCAUGACAAUAUUAAAGUAAUAAUAUGUUACGUAAAUAUAUUCUCAAAUGUGUUUCUUUAAGUAUUGUGUAAUUCUGCGACCUUUAUUUCUGCUCCUAGGGAAAUUGCUAAUGAAGAAGCAAACUUGGUAGGUUACGUUGUUCUUUGAAUUUUUCAUUUUACUCUUUGAGGUUAAAUCGUACUCACGGGUAUGUUAUGAGUUUAAUUUACUGUGAUUACGGAAUAAAGUUUACACCACCGUAUCGCGCCAUGAUCGAGGACAAAUCCGAGGGGCGGAUUAUUUUUUUACAGUCAUGCAAACUGUGACACGCAAGUGAAUCUCUUCAGUAAUGAAAUCAGACGUGGAAGAGCUGCGUGUCGACUAAACGCUUUCCCGCGGAAGUUGUAGGAUUUCAAUUACUAUCGCUAUCAGGUAAAGUACCUGCUAGUUACUUCGAUAGGGUGUAAAUUUCAUUUUCAAGACUUUUUACCAAAUUAUCUAGGAAAUAUGUAGAGAUAAGGAUGUGCAUUGAUAUUAUAAUUAUUUUUCGACCUAUUUAAUCGGUACAAUUACUAUAAUUAAUAUUUGUGAUGAUUAUUCGUUUUUUAAUACAUGUAAAUAUAUAUUGGUUAAAUUAUCAAUAACUGCUUUUUUUCUCUUCGAUUGUUAUUCGACAAGAUCGGAUCAUGACGUUGACGAUUCUUCAGAUUUGUAAUUUAUUAAUCGGCACGUUUUGUGAUUUGUCGAAUUUAAACCAAACAAGCUGGAAAUCAUAUUGACUUUAAUCAUUAGAGAUUACAGUCCUGAAAUUUUACGAUAAAAGAUCACGUAGUAUUCGAGCAAUUUUUUUGAAAUAAUAUUUUCAUAAAAAUAUUUUCAUUUAAAUGUUGGUCGAAUUAUUUUAAACGUUUUAUUAAUUUUUCACAAUAAUUACUAAUAUGCAAUUAUGGGAUGUGUACGCAAAUUAACGGACAAUGCUGUUUCGUUUUUUUCUUCGAUUAAUUAUCUUCGGCCGUUAAAUUUAUAGGAGGUUGUUCAGGUUAAUCGUACCCAUUCGAGUUAAAGCGUUUGAUUGAUUCGCGCAAUUUGAUUAAUUGAUAAAUUGGAUUUGGUGCUAUUCCCAUAGGAAAACUUGCCAUUGCUAAUGCUCUUUCGCGAAAGGUAAUGAAUGGCUUUCCAUAUAUUUUCAUUGAUACAAAACACAAUAUUUUUGGCAAAAAAUCAUUAGCAGUGUGAAAUUUAACUAAAAGAUAUCUCAGUGCUAUUUCUAAAGUAAAAAUAUCCAACUGUAUUCAAUUAAUCGACAUAAUCAAAAAAUUCAAUUUGUUAAAAAAUCUUUCAAAUGACAAUUCUAAAAUUAUAAUCAAUAAAUAAAAUUUAACAAUUACAAAACACUUAAUGCACAUAAUUGUUACAUAUAUAUCCCUGAGUAUAACAUUUUGACAUUACCCAUCAUAUCGGGUGCUUCUUGGGUAACAGCUAUGUAAAAGUUACAUAAGUAUCAGAAACGUAUUUACUUUGCCGUAAUAAUUCCCAAGUAUGAAAUUCUAACAUUAUCAAUACGCAACUGCUGCUUUGUGUUUACUGUGAUGUGAUAAAAAAAUUAUUCAAUUGAUCCAAGUAAUUCCCAAAUCUACGCUAACGAAUAUUUCAAACGCGGUUAAAGCCUUAUUUCUAUGCACAAAUUUUAACAUACAAGAUAAAUUAUUUCUCCGAUUUUAUCAUCGUAGGAAUGAAAAAGUGCUUGAUAAAAAGUCAGACGACUUAGGGCCGAUGGAAUGGAAGAUAAAAGAUGGAAAGUUAUAUUCAUCAUUCGGUGUUGAAUUUUCCUUCGGGAUAGCUUAUCGGCAUAAAUAAACUUUAACACUGGCGUAAUCAUUCAUAGUACAAAAAAGCGCCGACGACGAGAGCAUUUGCUGGCUUGAUAUACAGUAUUUAUUGGCGCUCGUGUAUACAGGGGUAUAAACAUUUGCUCGUGAGCCGCAAAUACUUUGCCGAGUGAAUAAACGUAGCAAGUUGGCAAAGAGUUUGCGAGGUUUUUGCGAGUGAAACAUUUUAAACACAGCCGUCCUGACUAUUCAGUUUAAUGUUCAUGUGGGUCAGAAAAAUAUGACAAGCAAUUAAAUGAACAUUUUCGUUCCGAUUAAUAUUCGCAUUACGAUACUCUCAUAUAUCACGAAUGGGUUCCAUGAAUUUCUAGAACUAUUACGUACUGUCAAUAACUUCAUAGUGAUUGAUUUUCACAGAUCGGUAUAUUUAUUGCUAUCAAUAUUACCCGGGAGGAAUAAAUAAUAGGCCCAUUGUACGUGAUACGUGCUUGAAAUUUAAAUUUCACUAAACAUACGAUGGUAUUAUCUAUUGAAGGAUGAACACGUCUUGAGUGUAGAUAAAAUAAAUUUAGAAAUAUAUUUUGAAAAAUAUGCCUAGUUAAAUUUUAUGACUUAUAUCUAUUGUUGUUUCUAUUUGAGUGAAUUUUCUGUAAUGUUAUUUUCCUUCGUUCCAGUAAGUGGUUGAACAAUAUUUUUUAACAAAUUUUUUCGUAUCAUAAAGAAAUCUUUGUCCAACCACAAAUGCACGUGACGCUCAAGUUAAGUCGCCUAAAAGAAAUUUUGCUCAAAGUGAAAUUAUCAUUGUCGAAAGUUUCUUCUCUCGCGUAACGACAUUCAGUUAGAUGUAUAGUCGGUUCAAGAAUUCAAUUUUUUUGACAGUUUUAAAGCAACAAAGUUUCUAGCAAGUCCCAAAAUUUAUAUCACAAAGUAUGCGUACACAUGACUUUGAGCUAAACUAUAUACAACUUUUCUUUGUUUAACGCUUUUCUGUGUUUUAAUGUAAAACCAGGUAUGAUUUGAUAAGGAUUGCAUUGUUUGCCAACUGUAAAAAAGAAAAAAUUGUCAACUCCUACAGACCGACUAAUAACUGUGUAAUUUCUUCCGUUGCUCAUAUAUACGUCUACAGUCUCCUGCACUAAAUAUUCCCUUCGCAUAAUCAAUACGUGACGACUUGACUCCUAAAAGCAGAAGUUCAUUGUAUUGAAAAUAAAAUAAAACUCGUUUGAUACUCCUGCAUUGAUUUACUGUCCUACGUAUCUGUAUCCAUCUGGCAAACUCACGACAAAACCCCUUAAGGUUUUUCCUUUGACAAAACCCCUCGAGCUUCUCGAGGGGAAACUGUGCAAGUCACCAGUCGACGUUAUAGGGACUCUAAAGGAGUGUAUUGACUCCUGUGCGUUCAAUUAGUGACACGUGGCAGGGACCGUUACCCAGGGCGAAUCCUGCUGCGUGGCACGUACGAAAUUCGAAUUAGGAAAUAUGUUGACAGAAAAGCACAUAAAGAAUAGUAAUAUCGAUACCUGAUUGCAUGCGUCUUCUUCCAUUAGAGCCAAAGGGUGUGACAGGCAUGUAAUUUUAGUAAGGCAAAUGACGUGAAAGGUACCUCAGUGAAUAAAAGGUUAUGUUCGUCGUGACACAGAUGCGUUAGAAACGCUACGUCUUUGACGUAUGAGUAUUCCUGGCUUCUUGACCCAGAAAGCAUUUUUUUUUCUACAUUUCCCGAGGUCCUAGUCAGGUAGAUUGGAGUAGCGGUAGCCAUUAUCGAGGUAGAGACUAGUCGAUCCCAUUCUGAGCCAAUUAUCUUGUUACAGGGAAUACAGUUCCAUCGAGCCAGCACGGGUAAUUAGAUGACCAAGAAUUUAAUUGCGGCUAGUUUCGGACUGUGCGACAGGUGCAGCUGCGACGUCUACGAAGGUGUUAUAACUUUGGCACUUAAGUAUAGUUAGUAAGUACCGGACUUGACGAUACGACUGCAUGGCUGGCAGCUCCUUCACCGAGAGUUCUCGUCCUCUCAACGGCGCCCGAGGUCGUAAUUAGUUUGUGGCUGGCUUCACCAGGACCGUCAGACGUCACCCUCACCGUGGGGGCUUCCUGGCUUACUGCCUAGUCGUCUAGUCGCCCGGCGGUUCUUAACCAUCUAGUCAUCCAGCUUUCUUUCAGCCUUCGAAUAUUAUAAGCACAUGUAUAACUCGGAGAAAUGCAGCAGCUUCUCUUAUUUUAUUAUUAACGUCGUUUUCUCACUACGAAAAAUUCAUAGACCCCCCGGUUUAUUCUUUUUCUCUUCUCAACUUUUAGUUUCCACCUUCGCGUCACGUGACUCUUGCAUAUCUUCUGAGUUACCGGUCGUCGGGCUUGUCGUUAGGGGCGACAUCUGCAAGUGACAAACACGAGACUCGUAGUUACUUCUGCUACAUAUUUUCCAACUAUUCCAGUUUCACAGUUUGGUGUGUGCGUGUCAUAAUUUUCCAAGGAUUAUCUGAUGAACAAUUUGAACGUGAUUACUAAUGACAUCCAUGCACCCGCAUAUCAGGCGGGCGCCAGCCAAUUCUUUUCUCAUCGGGAACCGAGGAGCCGGUAUGAUCUGGGAGUUGAGGCGGAGGAGUCUGAACUCCGCUAAAACGAGAGCUCUGAUGGAACCUAUCAGAAGAGACGAUAGCUGAAGGGCUGAAGACGAUCCAGUUGCCAGCAGCGGUGAUCACCGAAAACCACUUUUUUUUUUGGACCUCUGGGAAAUUUACUGUACUUCUGGCAUUUCGUCAGAUUUUGCCUCAAAAAAAUUUGUACACUAUCUUCAAAUAUAUAUCUUUCAAGUGGAAAAACAUUUGUCAUUAAUUAUUUUAAUGUGUGGCCAAAAAAGAGCUUUUUUUCGA